rnacentral:rRNA from 1 species
AACGAACGCUGGCGGCAUGCCUAACACAUGCAAGUCGAACGAGACCUUCGGGUCUAGUGGCGCACGGGUGCGUAACGCGUGGGAACCUGCCCUUUGGUUCGGAAUAACUCCCCGAAAGGGGUGCUAAUACCGGAUAAUGUCUUCGGGCCAAAGAUUUAUCGCCUUUGGAUGGGCCCGCGUUGGAUUAGCUAGUUGGUAGGGUAAAAGCCUACCAAGGCGACGAUCCAUAGCUGGUCUGAGAGGAUGAUCAGCCACACUGGGACUGAGACACGGCCCAGACUCCUACGGGAGGCAGCAGUGGGGAAUAUUGGACAAUGGGCGAAAGCCUGAUCCAGCAAUGCCGCGUGAGUGAUGAAGGCCUUAGGGUUGUAAAGCUCUUUUACCCGGGAUGAUAAUGACAGUACCGGGAGAAUAAGCUCCGGCUAACUCCGUG